rnacentral:rRNA from 1 species
UGCGAACGCUGGCGGCAGGCCUAACACAUGCAAGUCGAACGCCGUAGCAAUACGGAGUGGCAGACGGGUGAGUAACGCGUGGGAACGUACCCUUCGGUUCGGAAUAACCCGGGGAAACUCGGGCUAAUACCGGAUACGUCCGCAAGGAGAAAGAUUCAUCGCCGAAGGAUCGGCCCGCGUCGGAUUAGCUAGUUGGUGAGGUAAUGGCUCACCAAGGCGAUGAUCCGUAGCUGGUCUGAGAGGACGGUCAGCCACACUGGGACUGAGACACGGCCCAGACUCCUACGGGAGGCAGCAGUGGGGAAUAUUGGGCAAUGGGCGCAAGCCUGAUCCAGCCAUGCCGCGUGAGUGAUGAAGGCCCUAGGGUUGUAAAGCUCUUUUACCAGGGAAGAUAAUGACGGUACCUGGAGAAUAAGCCCCGGCUAACUUCGUGCCAGCAGCCGCGGUAAUACGAAGGGGGCUAGCGUUGCUCGGAAUCACUGGGCGUGAAGCGCACGUAGGUGG